rnacentral:lncRNA from 1 species
CCACCACGACUAGACACAGAGCGCCGUUACCUUUCCACUGAGGUGGUACCUAUUUAUCUACUCACAUUUACAUGCUUUCGAACUGCUAGGUUGGUGAGGAGCUGGGACAAGCGACAGGAGCUCACUCCAUCCUGUGGAUUCGAUCUUACGACUGCUGGUCUUCUGACCCUGCAGCACAGAGGCUUCUGCAGUUUAAUCCACAGCGUCACCACGUCCCCAUCUCUCUCCAGGAAAUCUGAAGAAGUUUCAAGUAACCCAGAUGUUCUAAGCCAUGCCCCUCCGCUUGCAUUUGGUACUUCAAUAAAAGUAAAUAAAAUGAGUAUUUGAAAUAAUCAUGUGCCUGAUUAUUUCUGAGAAGUGCUGAGUUGCAUGUACUAUGCCUGCCGGCCUCAGCACACCAGCUGAUAUCCAAGGGGACUGUUAUAGCUUCCUGGUUCUCCUAGUAUGGAGACAAUUCUAGA